rnacentral:misc_RNA from 1 species
UUGUUUAAUUUAACUUGUUCUCAGACUUCAAUUUACAAAGGGUUGGCUGAUUCCGGCAGGCGGAGCUCCCUCCGCGAACAGAGGGGGGCCCCGCCGAGCGCCGAAUCCGGGCCGCGGUUACGGAGGAUGGGGUUGGAGGCGCGAGGCCUUUACCCAGUAAUGAUCCUUCCGCAGGUUCACCUACGGAAA